AACACAAGACAACUUGUAUGUCAGAAAAGUUGUCACCAGUCUGUGCCCACAAGUACAUGCCAGCCUGUAGCGAGGCCACGCGCCAUAUCUACGAAAUGGCCAAUCCAAACAACACAGAAUGCCUAACACCCAACAGCUUCGACACACCCACCGUGGACUGUUCCACCACUGAAGACAUUCGAAGUAGCUACCAUCAAUGCUUAAUCUACAACAGGAUACUGCUCAAAUUCCCG